GAGGGGCGGGAGCGGCAUAAAGGGAUAGAAGGGAUAGAAGGGAUAAAAUAGACGGGAUACAGGGUGAGGGAGGCGGGAGUGCGGCUGGCACUAGCGCGCGGGGCAGCGCUGGGAGCUGUCGGCUGGGCCCGCCGCACGGGAGGACAGGGCAGCGAGGCGCUGCUCCCGCUGUUCCUGGCGGCCUUGGCCCCUUCCUCCAUCCAUCCAUCCAUCCAUCCUGCAGCCGCCGAGCGGGGCCUUCCCUGCCCGCCCGUCCAGCUGUCCUGCCCCGUCCCGAGCAGCUGCUUCAGGCCUGGCCGUGCCCGCGGCUGGCGUGAGGUGACAGUGGCUUGGUUAAAUAAGAUCUCCUAAAGAUAGCAUUCUUUAAUCUCCAGAGAUGACAGCUGUAGCAGUGCUGGAGGAGGUGCUGGUGUCCAUUGAGAAUGAGCUGCAGGCCGUGGAGAUGCAGAUCCAGGAGCUUGUGGAUAAGCAGCAGGAGCUGCUUCAAAAGAAGAUGAGAGUGAAGAAUCUGAUAAAACAGUCCUCAGGAGACUUGGAGGCAGGUGGAAGUAAAGACACUGAAACCUCAGCUGAGGAAUGGAACAAAAAAGAUUUUCCAUGGUAUGAGAAGAUAAAAACUGCACUGCAGAGCAAAUUUAAACUCGAGAAGUUUAGAUCACUGCAACUUGAAACAGUAAAUGCUGCAAUGGCAGGGAAGGAUAUAUUUCUUGUCAUGCCUACAGGUGGUGGGAAGAGCCUUUGUUACCAGUUACCAGCUGUCUGUUCUGAUGGUUUCACACUGGUGAUAUGUCCUUUGAUAUCUCUCAUGGAAGAUCAGCUCAUGGUUUUGGAACAGCUUGGUAUCUCUGCAGCUUUAUUAAACGCCUCAAGCAGCAAGGAGCACGUGAAGUGGGUCCACACGGAAAUGCUGAAGAGGAAUUCCCCGCUGAAGCUGAUUUAUGUGACCCCAGAGAAGAUUGCCAAGAGCAAAAUGUUCAUGUCCAAGCUGGAGAAGGCUUACCAGGCCGGGUGCCUGGCCCGCGUCGCUGUGGACGAGGUGCACUGCUGCAGCCAGUGGGGCCACGACUUCAGGCCGGAUUACAAGUCUCUUGGUAUCCUGAAAAGACAGUUUCCCAAUACUCCCUUGAUUGGACUGACAGCAACAGCUACCAAUCAUGUUCUGAAGGAUGCACAGAACAUUUUGCAUGUUCAGAAGUGCAUUACCUUUACUGCUUCCUUCAACAGGCCCAACCUUUACUAUGAGGUUCGGCAUAAGCCUUCAAAUAACGAAGAUUUCAUUGAGGACAUAGUUAAGACCAUUAAUGGAAGAUACAAAGGACAGUCAGGAAUUGUUUACUGCUUUUCUCAGAAGGAUUCUGAGCAAGUUACUGUGAGUCUGCAGAAGCUGGGAAUCAAGGCAGGGACUUACCAUGCAAACAUGGAUGCUAAAUAUAAAACCAAAGUUCAUAAAGGAUGGGCAACAAAUCAAAUCCAGGUUGUAGUGGCAACUGUUGCUUUUGGCAUGGGAAUUGAUAAACCUGAUGUGAGGUUUGUAAUUCAUCACUCUAUGAGCAAGUCCAUGGAAAACUACUACCAAGAGAGUGGUCGUGCAGGUAGAGAUGACCAAAAAGCUGACUGCAUUUUGUAUUAUGGCUUUGGAGAUAUAUUCAGAAUCAGCUCAAUGGUGGUGAUGGAAAAUGUUGGCCAAGAGAAGCUGUAUGAUAUGGUAUCUUAUUGCCAAAAUAUGAGCAAGUGUCGCCGGGUGCUCAUAGCCCACCACUUUGAUGAAGUGUGGGAUUCUGCAAACUGCAACAGAAUGUGUGAUAACUGCUGUAGAGAGAACGCGUGUGAGAAGAUGGAUGUAACAGGAUACUGCAGGGAUCUAAUAAAGAUCCUUGAGCAAGCUGACAGCAUGAGUGAGAAACUCACCCCACUGAAAUUAAUCGAUGCCUGGUCUGGGAAAGGUGUGUCCAAGUUCAGGGUGCCUGAAGUUACUCCACCCAAGCACCCUCGAGAGGAGCUGGAGAGAAUUAUUGCCCAUUUCCUGCUGCAGCAGUAUCUGAAGGAGGAUUUCAGCUUCACAGCCUUUGCUACAAUAUCCUACCUGAAGGUGGGACCCAAAGCCCGGCUGCUGAAAAACGAGGGACAUGUCAUCACCAUAGAAGGGAUAACAAACAGCAAAAGUGUUUUCAAGGUCAAACCAUCUCCAUCUUCAAAAGGAAGCAGAGAAAAUGCCCAGACUGGAUCAAAGACUGUCCAGGAUUCAGUGGUGAAGAAAUCACAGGAACAUAAACGGCCCAGCUGUGGUCCUAACUUAAAAGCAAAGAAGCCUAAGCUUCAGGCAGGUGCAGAUGACCAACCAGUACUAAUUGACUGAGUGUCACAGACUAAAUUUAGGAUCUAAUCAUGGUUGCUGCUCCAUGGACAAUGCAGUGUGUGCUGACCUCCCUCAAUGAACAUGAGCACUGUCACAGCUCAGUGUCCCAGAUGGAAAGGACUGGAAAUAGUUGCUUCCUUUCCAGGAGCAAAUGUCAAGAUUAAUAAGGAAAAGUCAAGGAAGUCAGCUGCAGUUGGGUAAAUUCUUGCUGUCCAGCUUCUUUUGAUGAAUGGCAGUUCCAUGUUACAGAGCACCUCUAAUUCUGAAGACCUGUAGCAGUGAAACUUCAUCUUUGCCUUCCAAGCUUAAUUUUUACUCUAUUAAGUGAUUUUUCAAGUGAAAACUUUUCCACAUCUUUGACUAUUUCUACCUCUUUUCUGUACAAAGAGGAAAAGCUACAGUAGAACUACAAGAGAAUAAAAAGUCAUUCCUUCAGUAGCUUUCCACUGUACAAAGCAGCCCUUUGUACCAGGUACCACACACACCUUCCCAGGGAAAUUUCUUUAUAUUUUCCAAUUGGAUUCUGCCUGGAGAGUGGAAAAAUGUCAUUUAUUCCAUAUUAUCAUGUUAGAAAUAAUGCAUAUGAGCCAUCUAUAAACUUAACCAAUAUAGUGGCUAAUUAAUUUAGUGACAUUAUAAGGCUGUUUUUUUGCUUGUGAAAAUGUUCCUAUUUAGGAAUAUAUAAUAACAAACAUUAUUUUCUGUUUCUCCAUUUCCCUGCACAAUAAUUCUGGUAUUUUGCACCAGAUGCAGGAAUAUAUUACACAUUUUUAAGUCCCAAACACAUUUACCUGUGCACUGUCAGUGUCCCGGAUUCCUAAUACAUACGGGUUCCCUUCCACAAUUAAUUUUGGUUUGGCUCCAGCACACAGGCAAAGUUUUUCAUAUAUAUAUUCUUUUCCAUCCUCAGUGUAAAUUUUCUGUUAACAAUGAAAAGAAAAAUUAAUCCACCUAAGAGAAUUCAUCUAAAUCAAGACAUCUAAGAGACAUCUUUCCUUAAUGUCACAGUAAUUAGCAGAUAUGAUAAGCUGCAAGGGCUUCUUAAGGAACAAGGCUUCAUACUCUUCAUGGCUGUGUGCCAUUUAUUGCCACCACACUCACCACAAAUAUGUGACCAAUAAAAUGGGGAGUGCACACAGUCCACUCAAAGCAACAUCAACCACUUGGUGGCACUUGGUACUCACUGGCUGUGCCAAGAGUUCUGUGUUUUCUAUGUGACAGAUGUCCCUCAGGCCCAGGAACAGAACUAUGCACUGCUGGACAUCAGCAACUGAGAAUCUCAUUCAAACAUUUCAGCAGCAGUAGCUGUGCUCUGAGUUAAGCAGGCACAGGACAGGACACAGUUCAGAAAUCUGCAAAUCUGUUGUUUGCCAAAGAAAAAGUGGAGGCACUCAGCAAGCUACAUCAUUCUGAGAAAGAAGACCUAAAAUUUUAACAUUUUAUGACAUUAUUUGUUGUUCUACAAACUACAAGCUGCAUAGUUUACAGUGGUUGUGGGCGAAAGAUCCUCUAAAUCCACACAUUAAUUAUUUGUGUCCACCAAGACAUGUAUUAAAACGCUAUCCUAGUAAUGAUGUAAGGAAAGCACUGGAUUCAGAAUGUUAGCAGAAUCUACCUGCAAUUACAUCUCCAAACCUUAAAAGUGAGCAAAACCAGUCUGGGAUGUGAAUGUGAGUUUCUCACACAUGCUGAAGUGAAAAUAACAUGCUGACACAGAGCUAACAGGUACAUCUGUCCAUUGCUCAUAUUUGCAACUUAUUUCCUGCUAAACAGAAGGAAGAAAAGGUGGAAAUGUUGGUUCUUUCAAGAUUUAUGUUGUCCUCUAUAUAUAUUUCUACUUGAAAACCAGUGUUGAGCAGGAAGUGAAAUUAGAAUAAGGAAAUAUUUUCUUGUCAUUUUGGUAACUUGUCAAUCCAGUAGCCAAAAUGUUCUUUAACAAAAUUUCUCACCCAAAACAUUCAGCUACCUCUUAAAUCAUUUUUUAUAUACAUAAUUUGAAAAAAAACAAACAAAAAAGAAAACCUUAGCUUACAUGUUCAUCACUUUUCAACUGUUUCACUCCAGACUGUAUAACUCUAAUAUUGGGAUAUCGUUUUUCCAACAGGGAACUUGGUUGCUCUUCGACAUCAAAUUCCUCAAGUGUUUUGGAGACCUGUAGGAGAAAGAGAAGUAUUUAAAAAUAUGGAUCAUUUAUCCAUCUCUUCUUCUAAAGCUUUUGACACAAGGCGCUGUGUUCAUUUAUAGUAAAAAAGUCACAACAUAAAGCCCAUAUUAUCUGAAAAUGUGUUAUCAUGUAACUGCUGAAAGUUUCUUUUUCAAUACAGAAUGUUUUCAUGCCUGUUCCUGGUUGAAGAGUCAAAGUACUACAUGUUAAUACUAAAUAUAGAGAUUAAGCAAAAAUGGAGAACCCUGGCAGUUGCUUUAACUGCUACAAUGUCUUAUUCCAUAAAGAAGUCUAUUAUCAGAGUUGUUAACACUGAUUUUUCAUUUAUGUGAUGUAUGUAUGUAUUUUUCAUUUAUGUUAUGUUAAAAUCCUGGUUUUUCUCCUUUUUGUACCUUUGAUAAAAUAACUCAUCCAGA